rnacentral:rRNA from 1 species
UACGUAGGGCGCAAGCGUUAUCCGGAAUUAUUGGGCGUAAAGAGCUCGUAGGCGGUUUGUCGCGUCUGCCGUGAAAGUCCGGGCUCAACUCCGGAUCUGCGGUGGGUACGGGCAGACUAGAGUGAUGUAGGGGAGACUGGAAUUCCUGGUGUAGCGGUGAAAUGCGCAGAUAUCAGGAGGAACACCGAUGGCGAAGGCAGGUCUCUGGGCAUUAACUGACGCUGAGGAGCGAAAGCAUGGGAGCGAACAGG